rnacentral:lncRNA from 1 species
UUUUUUUUUUUUUACAGGCUGGGACUAAGGUUAUUUUGCUGUCUGAAUAUCACGGGUUCCCGCACCGUGAGACUGUAACACUUUUAGCUGAAAUUCUGCCUGUAAUAUUGCGGGAGGGGGGAGGAGGACGUGGGCUCACGUCAGACCCAUAACAAAGCAUAGAUAAGCCAGAAAUGUAUACACUUUUCACGAUUAACCGGGCUGGAUCCCGAGCUGGAAUGUCCUAUCGUCCCGAAGCCCACGUCAGGAUUCCUGCGUGCUGAUUGCUUCCAGCAGAGAAAGGAGAAUGCAAAAUAUCCAAGGUGCUUCCAGGAGCCUUUACGUAAUAACAAAAAAGUGCUGGCACACACAAUGUAGGGUAUUGCGAGGGGCUAGGAUGCUGCUGCCUCGCAGCUCGCAUAUUCCGCCCGGAGUAGCCCUGCCGCAGCUUUUUGAUGUUCCAUUGAGAGCAGCCCCUUAAAAUCAAUUUGAAGAAGCAGCAUGGAGGUUUAACCUCUUCUUAGGGACGUGAAACGAGUCGAGUGUCAGGACCGGGGGGGUUCGCCAAUGUCGCGAUGGCCGCACGCCUCUCCCGUGGCACCGGGGGGGGGUGUGUGUGUGUGGAUGCUCCUCCCGGGUUGCACGUUAGGCGCCGCGAAAAAAGAAAUCGCCAACCUCCGCCGUGCCUCCAGUGCUCCGCUGGGUACGAACACGAGCACGUUUGGGUAUCGCCGCACAUCCAGAAAGACACAUAUCCGAGAGAUGAAUGAGACAGCUCAUAUUUCUGGGACUUGGAGGGGGAAAAAAAUCGACGAAGAAAAUAAUAAUAAUAUAAUUAAAAAAAAAAAAAUCUUCAAUCCCAAACGUCAAUAUCCACUCCGUGUAUUGGCAAGAUGGUGCGUGGAGUUCGUGUUACCCCGUCAGGUAGAGCUAAAAGAAAGCGCAUAAUCACUCUGUAAAAACCGCGGGUUUGCACGUCAAAGCGAAAUACAGGCGAGCCCCCAGUUUCGCUGGAAUUCUAGAGAGAAGUGGGAAUUUGGAGAAGUGCAUCCGGGAAUGGAGGAAGUCUAUUCAAGGGAGCCUCUAACUCGGAGGGCUGAGAUUUGAAAAGUCAGCCCUGGACUACUGUUGCUCCCAGUGCAGAUGUAGCCGCCGCUGUUCAACUUAAUCCAUGUGUGUGCGAACCGCGGUGCCUAGCUCUUCCCUUUGGAACCCGGGGAUAGCCUUCCCAUCCGAGGAAGCAGAGCUACGGCAAAUUACAUUUUGUCCCUCGAAUUAGAAAAGGAUCAUUGAGUGGAUCUCGUGAUAUUUCAGCCUUUAAACGUAACCGAGAGGCAGCAGCGAACAAUGCCUCGGCGCAGCCAAGACCAUCCGCGGAGUUCGCCUUCCCUCGCCUUGCCUUGGGAUCCCCCAGCCUCGCCUUCCUCUUCCUCGCCCGUGGGAGAGCCACCCUGGCGUCUGCCGAGGCUGAAAGCAAAGUUGCGAGAGAAAACAGCUGCUGGCGCUAAAAAGAAAUCAGCGUAGUCUUUCUAGAGCUAGAGACAAUACGGUC